GUAUUUGAGUGUCAUUUAUCUCUCUCUCGACAACAUAAACAAAAAAAGCCCUAGAUCUACAAUCUACAUUUUCAUCUCUUAUUACUUCAUAGUUCAUAAUCAUCACAUCAUACUAAUCAUAGUGAAAGGUAGAAUCUUUCAAAGCACAAGAUCUACCACAGUACGACAUGAAUAGCGAGGUUGUGUGUAAUAAUCAUAGAAUGGAGUGUCAAUUCACCUGUAGAUGUAUUGGAUGAUGAAGAUGAACUUCUUUGCAAUAAUCAAGGCUCUCCAGUUAAUUCUAAAGGAUGGACUUGCCUCCAUUUGUCGAUGCCGAGGAGAUUCUAGGUGGUCCUGACGAGGCAGUUCACCCUCGGUAGAGGGUGACCCGUCCUCGAGAGGAGGUUCGAGAGCGACGCGUCGCGGUCGAUCGACGCCGCCAAGAGGAUGUGGUUUGGGAAGCUCCUCCAAACUGGGAACCUAGGGUCCUUAAGUGGGACCCAGACCAUCAUGUUUCAAUCAGAGGGUGGCGUGGCAUUGUGAGUUUUUCGUGCCUUUGUUUCUCCUUUUUAAGCCAUAAUCGUUUUUUUUUUAUUUUUAUUCUUUUAUUUAGAGUGAGCCUAGCAUGCGUUUAUACGGCUUUGGUGACCUGCGAGCCCGUUUUGAGAGUUUACCCGAGGUGGCAAAGGAGAUUGUAGCACUUUCUGGGAUGGACUCCCAGCUGGCGGCUCUUCGGGAUUUAUUGAGUCAGCCUGCAUCGUCAGCUUUCCUCUGUGGAUUGAUGGAGUUUUGGUGGGAUUCCACCAACACUUUCAACUUUCCAUGGGGAGAGAUGACGGUUACCCCUUUUGAUUUCUCUAUGAUUACGAGUUUUCCUUUGGAGGCGAGCCUGUAGUCAUAGAGUUCGUUAAGGGGUCAGACGAGAGACUGCGCGACCUUGUGGGGGACCGUCUUGCGUCGGCCCUUCAUGUGUACGCGCAGUCUUGUCCGUACUCGAUUCUUGCCUAUGAGUUGUCGGCUGACGAGCUUGAUUAGCAUUGUACACCUGAUCAGCUGGCUUGGAUAUACAUUGCUCACGUUCUUUCCGUCACUAUCUUGAGUGAUCGAGAAGAGCGUUUCGCCAUUGGGUUACUUAUUUGCCUCAGUGAUUUAGGGCAAGUCGGUGACCUGAGUUGGGCGGAGGUGUUGUAUGCCUGUAUGCUUACAACAAUGGGCAAGGCGACCCGGGUGAUGGAUUCCGCGGCAGCUACCGAGGUGCCUCAGAUAUCCCUCUACGUGGCAUGGUCGUAUCCUUGAGGCUUGGGGAUGCUCGUACCUGCCUUUUUUAGCCCCCAGGGUGCUUGGGGCUGCUCGUUUUCCUAUCGGCCAUUGAUUGGUCGCGAUUAAGAAGAGACGAACCACUUCUGCCGGCGACUUUCGCCAUAGGAUCCUUUCGGCGACUCGUCCGUCGAUCGAUCUCCGUCCUUGGAGUUUGAUCAUCGGAGUCCCUGAUGCUAUCCGGUCUGGCAUGGUUCGUUGCCGUUUCUGGGUCCUCUAUCCGGGACUCUCGGUGCUCCAUAGGACAAAGGCUUGGUUUUUCGGCGAUCGUGUUCGUGCAACUUUCGUCCGAGGAGCCUUUGGUACCUGCGGAUCCUCCAAUCAGGAUGUUACAUCAGAACUUGCUGUCUACCGAGGAUCGAGCUCAGGCGAUCAUUGGUUAUCCAGCGUGCUGUCGGAGGUUUCUUAUCCGUCUUUUAUAGCAUCCAGGCUGACUCCUUUUCCGGCUUUUGUUCCGCGGGUCGAGCUAGGUGGUUGGGUGCCUCCUGCAGCGGAGAUCACGUAUACCGAUUCUGUCGGAUCGGUAAUUCGUGAGACCAUUCCAGCAGCGGAGGAUGAUGAGGGGAUACCGUUUGUACCUGAGACGGUUGAGUCGGUUCCGCGGGAAAUCGUGAACGACAUGGCGAGGACUUUACGUGCUUUCUGAACUGCUUAUCGGAGAGCCCUCGUGACUUUAUCAUGUCGUGAUCAUCGGAUGAUCGCGGUAAGUUUUAUUUCUUUUCUUUUCAACGAAGUUAUUACAUUUCAUGUAUUAAUCUUCGUUUUGGACUUUGCAAAAUGUGCAGCAACCGUCUAGUAGUCGCCAAGCACCCUGAUUCCUUUUGUAUACAUAUUGUUGUUUAUUUUAGGAAACAGAUGUGUAUUUUUUUUUGCAUUGUUGUACAUAUGACACAUUUGUAGAUAUGUCAUCAUUAUUAUAUU